rnacentral:rRNA from 1 species
UCAGGCCUAACACAUGCAAGUCGAACGAACUCUUCGGAGUUAGUGGCGGACGGGUGAGUAACACGUGGGAACGUGCCUUUAGGUUCGGAAUAACUCAGGGAAACUUGUGCUAAUACCGAAUGUGCCCUUCGGGGGAAAGAUUUAUCGCCUUUAGAGCGGCCCGCGUCUGAUUAGCUAGUUGGUGAGGUAAAGGCUCACCAAGGCGACGAUCAGUAGCUGGUCUGAGAGGAUGAUCAGCCACAUUGGGACUGAGACACGGCCCAAACUCCUACGGGAGGCAGCAGUGGGGAAUCUUGCGCAAUGGGCGAAAGCCUGACGCAGCCAUGCCGCGUGAAUGAUGAAGGUCUUAGGAUUGUAAAAUUCUUUCACCGGGGACGAUAAUGACGGUACCCGGAGAAGAAGCCCCGGCUAACUUCGUGCCAGCAGCCGCGGUAAUACGAAGGGGGCUAGCGUUGCUCGGAAUUACUGGGCGUAAAGGGAGCGUAGGCGGACAUUUAAGUCAGGGGUGAAAUCCCGGGGCUCAACCUCGGAAUUGCCUUUGAUACUGGGUGUCUUGAGUAUGAGAGAGGUGUGUGGAACUCCGAGUGUAGAGGUGAAAUUCGUAGAUAUUCGGAAGAACACCACUGGCGAAUGCGACACACUGGCUCAUU